CCUACGGGAGACAGCAGUGAGGAAUAUUGGUCAAUGGGCGCGAGUCUGAACCAGCCAAGUAGCGUGAAGGAUGACUGCCCUAUGGGUUGUAAACUUCUUUUAUAAGGGAAUAAAGUGAGGCACGCGUGCCUUUUUGUAUGUACUUUAUGAAUAAGGAUCGGCUAACUCCGUGCCAGCAGCCGCGGUAAUACGGAGGAUCCGAGCGUUAUCCGGAUUUAUUGGGUUUAAAGGGAGCGUAGAUGGUUUGUUAAGUCAGUUGUGAAAGUUUGCGGCUCAACCGUAAAAUUGCAAUUGAUACUGGCAGUCUAGAGUGUAGUUGAGGUAGGCGGAAUGCGUGGUGUAGCGGUGAAAUGCUUAGAUAUCACGAAGAACACCGAUUGCGAAGGCAGCUUACUAAGCUGCAACUGACAUUGAGGCUCGAAAGUGUGGGGAUCAAACAGGAUUAGAUACCCCGGUAGUC
rnacentral:rRNA from 1 species